rnacentral:pre_miRNA from 1 species
UGUAUACUCCCUCCGUCCCAAAUUACUCGUCGCAGAAAUGGAUAUAUCUAGAACUAAAAUACAUCUAGAUACAUCCAUACCUGCGACAAGUAAUUCGGGACGGAGGGAGUAUAUA